UCCAACAGGGGGCGCUGCGCAGCUCCGCCGCAAAUGCUUUAGAUCCUGCAAGGAUCGCAUCAUAUAACGCAUCUGUUCCCGCAGACAGUCGCUUGACUCCUGUAGACACAACUGCAAAGAGACAAGAAGGAAACAGCUUGGACCUGCACCAGCACUGUUAGAGAGGGCAUGGCUCUAUUUAUCUGGAGGAGCUGAAAAACCACUCUAUUCCAGAGUGCAUGUUGAAGGAAUGGCGUCUCAUGCCAAAACCCCUCCCACCAUGGAGCUGAAAUAGGUCACAGGAAGUCAGCCCUGAGGCGGAACAUGGGAGCCAUGAGCAGAAGUGAUGGGCUGAGAGACGUGU